rnacentral:rRNA from 1 species
UUUAGAUGGCGACCGGCGCACGGGUGAGUAACACGUAUCCAACCUGCCGAUGACUCGGGGAUAGCCUUUCGAAAGAAAGAUUAAUACCCGAUGGCAUAGUUCUUCCGCAUGGUAGAACUAUUAAAGAAUUUCGGUCAUCGAUGGGGAUGCGUUCCAUUAGGUUGUUGGCGGGGUAACGGCCCACCAAGCCUUCGAUGGACAGGGGUUCUGAGAGGAAGGUCCCCCACAUUGGAACUGAGACACGGUCCAA